CGUACAUCCAAUAGGGGCGAUUUAAAGUUGACGAAUUGUUUUCCUUAGCGACAAGGAUGUAAAUAUAUUCUAAAAGUAAUAUUAGCAAAGAGUAUUGUACAUAAUGAGAAAACCACUAUUGAUGCUUCUUACUCUGCACAACAGCAUCUGAUCCAUCAUCACAAUAAGUGAGAAUGAUCCAGAAUGGCUAAGUUCUUCAUGAAGAAGUCACCAAAUAACUAAGCAGACUGCUCUGAGUGAUCCUAACAGAUUGCCAAGAUCUGGUGAAAAUUGUCAGCUGAUUAUUUCAAAAUGCCUUUCCAGUUGCCGCUUAGGAAGAACAGAGCUCGAAAUAAGAAACGACAACAACAGCAACAAAGUCUUUUGCCGGUUAUGCCAGCAAUGAGAACACCUGAAAUGUCCAAAAGCCCUAGAG
rnacentral:lncRNA from 1 species